rnacentral:rRNA from 1 species
GACGAACGCCGGCGGCGUGCCUAACACAUGCAAGUCGAACGAGGUCCAAGGGAGCUUGCUCCCUGAAGACCUAGUGGCGAACGGGUGAGUAACACGUGAGAAACCUGCCCUCGAGUGGGGAAUAACCCGGGGAAACCCGGGCUAAUACCGCAUACGCUCCUCUGGUCGCAUGGCCGGAGGAGGAAAGUUUUUCGCUCAAGGAGGGUCUCGCGGCCUAUCAGCGUGUUGGCGGGGUAACGGCCCACCAAGGCUACGACGGGUAGCUGGUUUGAGAGAACGAUCAGCCACACUGGGACUGAGACACGGCCCAGACUCCUACGGGAGGCAGCAGUGGGGAAUCUUGCGCAAUGGGCGAAAGCCUGACGCAGCAACGCCGCGUGCGGGAUGACGGCCUUCGUGGUUGUAAACCGCUUUCAGCAGGGACGAAAAUGACGGUACCUGCAGAAGAAGCUCCGGCUAACUACGUGCCAGCCGCCGCCGUAA